ACGGGUGAGUAAUGCCUAGGAAUCUGCCUGGUAGUGGGGGACAACGUUUCGAAAGGAACGCUAAUACCGCAUACGUCCUACGGGAGAAAGCAGGGGACCUUCGGGCCUUGCGCUAUCAGAUGAGCCUAGGUCGGAUUAGCUAGUUGGUGAGGUAAUGGCUCACCAAGGCUACGAUCCGUAACUGGUCUGAGAGGAUGAUCAGUCACACUGGAACUGAGACACGGUCCAGACUCCUACGGGAGGCAGCAGUGGGGAAUAUUGGACAAUGGGCGAAAGCCUGAUCCAGCCAUGCCGCGUGUGUGAAGAAGGUCUUCGGAUUGUAAAGCACUUUAAGUUGGGAGGAAGGGUUGUAGAUUAAUACUCUGCAAUUUUGACGUUACCGACAGAAUAAGCACCGGCUAACUCUGUGCCAGCAGCCGCGGUAAUACAGAGGGUGCAAGCGUUAAUCGGAAUUACUGGGCGUAAAGCGCGCGUAGGUGGUUCGUUAAGUUGGAUGUGAAAUCCCCGGGCUCAACCUGGGAACUGCAUCCAAAACUGGCGAGCUAGAGUAUGGUAGAGGGUGGUGGAAUUUCCUGUGUAGCGGUG
rnacentral:rRNA from 4 species